UACGUAGGUGGCAAGCGUUGUCCGGAAUUAUUGGGCGUAAAGCGCGCGCAGGCGGCCUCUUAAGUCUGAUGUGAAAAGCCCCCCGGCUCAACCCGGGGAGGGCCAUUGGAAACUGGGAGGCUUGAGUAUAGGAGAGAAGAGUGGAAUUCCACGUGUAGCGGUGAAAUGCGUAGAGAUGUGGAGGAACACCAGUGGCGAAGGCGACUCUUUGGCCUAUAACUGACGCUGAGGCGCGAAAGCGUGGGGAGCAAACAGG
rnacentral:rRNA from 1 species